GGCUCAAUGGUCUAGUAGUAUGAUUCCUGCUUUGGGUUUGGCUGUUAGCCCAUUAAUCCGAUUGCAGGAGGUCCUGGGUUCAACUCCCAGUUGAGCCC